rnacentral:rRNA from 1 species
AAUGAACGUUGGCGGCGUGGAUUAGGCAUGCAAGUCGUGCGAUAACCGUAGCAAUACGGCGAAAGCGGCGAAAGGGAGAGUAAUGCGUGGAUACCUACCCCCAGGUCCAGGAUAGCCGCGGGAAACUGCGGGUAAUACUGGAUGACGUCUCCGUACCAAAGGUGUGAUUCCGCCCGGGGCUGGGUCCGCGUCCUAUUAGCUUGUUGGCAGGGUAAUGGCCUACCAAGGCAAAGAUGGGUACGGGGUGUGAGAGCAUGCCCCCGCUCACUGGGACUGAGACACUGCCCAGACACCUACGGGUGGCUGCAGUCGAGGAUCUUCGGCAAUGGGCGCAAGCCUGACCGAGCGACGCCGCGUGCGGGAUGAAGGCCUUCGGGUUGUAAACCGCUGUCAGAGGGGAGGAAAUGCCGGUGGGUUCUCCCAUCGGUUUGACCUAUCCUCAGAGGAAGGACGGGCUAAGUUCGUGCCAGCCGCCGCGGUAAGAC